AGCUUUGCACAAUGGCAGUAUCAUACAUAGCCAAUGAGAUUGAUCCAAGGCUCAAUUAUUGCUAAUUGAAAGCAAUUGGUAGUCUUGUUUUGCUAAAGAUUAAGUCUAGUUUUUUUUUUUCC
rnacentral:snRNA from 1 species